AGCGAACGUUAGCGGCGGGCCUAACACAUGCAAGUCGAGCGAGAAAGAGGGGCAACCCUCGAGUACAGCGGCGGACGGGUGAGGAACACGUAGGUAAUCUGCCCUUCGAUGGAGGACAACGGUCCGAAAGGACCGCUAAUACUGCAUACGUUCCCCCGGGUCCUCGGGCCUGGGGAGGAAAGCCUCGCAAGGGGCGUCGGAGGAGGAGCCUGCGUCGCAUCAGCUAGUUGGUGGGGUAAUGGCCUACCAAGGCGAAGACGCGUAGCUGGUCUGAGAGGAUGAUCAGCCACACUGGGACUGAGACACGGCCAGACUCCUACGGGAGGCAGCAGUGGGGAAUAUUGGACAAUGGGCGAAAGCCUGAUCCAGCCACGCCGCGUGAGU
rnacentral:rRNA from 1 species